AGGUACCAAUAUGGCGGAGGCUUCUUUUGGAAGUUCGAGCCCAGUUGGGUCUUUGUCUUCUGAGGAUCAUGAUUUUGACCCCACUGCUGAGAUGUUGGUCCAUGACUAUGAUGAUGAAAGAACUCUUGAAGAAGAGGAAAUGAUGGAUGAGGGUAAAAACUUCAGUUCGGAAAUUGAAGACUUAGAAAAGGAAGGAACCAUGCCUCUAGAAGAUUUACUGGCAUUCUAUGGCUAUGAACCUACAAUUCCAGCAGUUGCAAAUUCCAGUGCAAAUAGUUCCCCGAGUGAACUGGCAGAUGAACUACCAGACAUGACACUAGACAAAGUAAGUGUGAGCAUUUGAAAGGAAAAUUCAGGGUCUGUUACCAUUGACUGCUUUUACUUCCAUUUAAAG
rnacentral:sRNA from 1 species